UGUUUGUGUUUGUGUGUGUGUGUGUGUGUGUGUGUGUGUGUAUGUGUGUGUGUGUGUGAGUAAAACAGCUGUAAGUGCUAACCAUUCCCUGCUUUUUA